AUUGAACGCUGGCGGCAGGCCUAACACAUGCAAGUCGAGCGGAUGACGGGAGCUUGCUCCUUGAUUCAGCGGCGGACGGGUGAGUAAUGCCUAGGAAUCUGCCUGGCAGUGGGGGACAACGUUCCGAAAGGAGCGCUAAUACCGCAUACGUCCUACGGGAGAAAGUGGGGGAUCUUCGGACCUCACGCUAUCAGAUGAGCCUAGGUCGGAUUAGCUAGUUGGUGAGGUAAAGGCUCACCAAGGCGACGAUCCGUAACUGGUCUGAGAGGAUGAUCAGUCACACUGGAACUGAGACACGGUCCAGACUCCUACGGGAGGCAGCAGUGGGGAAUAUUGGACAAUGGGCGAAAGCCUGAUCCAGCCAUGCCGCGUGUGUGAAGAAGGUCUUCGGAUUGUAAAGCACUUUAAGUUGGGAGGAAGGGCAGUAAGUUAAUACCUUGCUGUUUUGACGGUACCGACAGAAUAAGCACCGGCUAACUCCGUG
rnacentral:rRNA from 1 species